UACGUAGGGACCAAGCGUUGUUCGGAUUUACUGGGCGUAAAGGGCGCGUAGGCGGCAAUUCAAGUCAGCUGUGAAAUCUCCGGGCUUAACUCGGAACGGUCAGCUGAUACUGCUUUGCUAGAGUGCAGAAGGGGCAAUCGGAAUUCUUGGUGUAGCGGUGAAAUGCGUAGAUAUCAAGAGGAACACCUGAGGUGAAGACGGGUUGCUGGGCCAACACUGACGCUGAUGCGCGAAAGCCAGGGGAGCAAACGGG
rnacentral:rRNA from 1 species